CCUACGGGGGGCAGCAGUGGGGAAUAUUGGACAAUGGGCGAAAGCCUGAUCCAGCCAUGCCGCGUGUGUGAAGAAGGCCUUCGGGUUGUAAAGCACUUUCAGUGGGGAAGAAAGCCUUGGGGCUAAUACCCUCGAGGAAGGACAUCACCCACAGAAGAAGCACCGGCUAACUCCGUGCCAGCAGCCGCGGUAAUACGGAGGGUGCGAGCGUUAAUCGGAAUUACUGGGCGUAAAGCGCGCGUAGGCGGUCUGAUAAGCCGGUUGUGAAAGCCCCGGGCUCAACCUGGGAACGGCAUCCGGAACUGUCAGGCUAGAGUGAAGGAGAGGAAGGUAGAAUUCCCGGUGUAGCGGUGAAAUGCGUAGAGAUCGGGAGGAAUACCAGUGGCGAAGGCGGCCUUCUGGACUGACACUGACGCUGAGGUGCGAAAGCGUGGGUAGCAAACAGGAUUAGAUACCCUGGUAGUC
rnacentral:rRNA from 1 species